rnacentral:rRNA from 1 species
UACGGAGGGUGCAAGCGUUAUCCGGAUUCACUGGGUUUAAAGGGUGCGUAGGCGGCUUUUUAAGUCAGUGGUGAAAGACAACAGCUCAACUGUUGCAGUGCCAUUGAUACUGAAGAGCUUGAGUACAGAUGAGGUAGGCGGAAUUUAUGGUGUAGCGGUGAAAUGCAUAGAUACCAUAAACAACACCUAAUGCGAAGGCAGCUUACUAAGCUGUAACUGACGCUGAGGCACGAAAGUGUGGGGAUCAAACAGG